GCCCAGCCUUGAGAAGUUCAAAGAACUUGUUGCUUUCAUCCUGCACCCUUCAGAUACUUUUGACCUCCUCAGAUAAGGUCUGUCAUAAACACACAAGCCAGGCACACUGUUCAAGCUCAUUUUCUGUAGUGUUCAUCAAGACUGUCAAGAAGUUCUCUUCCUGUUUCUACCUUUCAUUUUUGAUCUGCCCCAGCCUCUGAAACCCAUCUUUCUGGCUAUGACUUUUGGUGUGAACUUGGGAUUUGUUUUCUGGCUUUAUGUAAUGAUGCUGCUGCUGCUGCUGCUAAGUCACUUCAGUCGUGUCCGACUCUGUGCGACCCCUUGGACUGCAGCCCACCAGGCUCCUCCGUCCAUGGGAUUUUCCAGGCAAGAGUACUGGAGUGGGGUGCCAUUACCUUCUCCGUCAUGCAAUAAUAGCUGCUAGUAAAAGUAUACUUCCGUCUGUGGAGGGGACUGACUGGAGGAUUCAACACUCUAAAGCCACUUGCUGAAUGGGGACAUAUAUAUAAAGUAUUGAGCAUGGAACCUGGCAUCAGGCGUGGCUACUGAAGUUGGAGAGGUGUUCAAAUCAAAACUCGCCAGCUAUGUGACUCUGAGAAAAUUACGUAAUGUCUGUGUGCCUCAUCUGUAAAAUGGAGAUAAUAAUAGUACCUAACUGAGAAUCGUUGAGUAAAAGACAUCACAUGAAAAGCACCUAGAAACGGAGCCUGGUUGUUAAACCACCAGAAGCCAUCUCCUAGACAGGUGAAGCGACUUAUCUCUUUGCAGCUGUGUGUAGAGACUUGGCAGCCAGCAUAUGAGAUACUUGGCUGAGACAAAUUUUGUAUCACAGUCAGAUUUACAACAUGAGGCCGUGACUGCUGAUACCUUGAAAUGACCCAUUUUUCUCCCCAGGCUUUGGAUCUUUUACUUGCUGGUACUGGACCUCUGCUCGUUUGCUUCCCCCACCUAUGGAUCGUUCUCCGUGAAUUACUGCUUUCCUGUCUCUCCUCUCACUGUGAAUUGUUUUGAGUCCUAGCUCUUGUCUGUAAAAUCUUAUCCCUUGUCUUGUUCCUGGGUUCAAGUAAUUGCAUACUGUUUAUCUUGCUGGCCUGGUGGCUGACCCUUCUGUCCUGACUCUUGAUUCUCACCUGGCCUUGUAUUAUCAGUAGCCUCUCAGUCUAAACAUCUUCCUGGUCCUACUAACCCAUUAAAACUAAUUCUGCCCAAGUGACCAAAGCCUUUCCUGAAAAAUUGCUGUGGCUGAUAUACACCAUGCCAGGUUUAGUUGCCAUUUGGUAGUUUGUUCUAGAACAUUCUGAGAGAAUUCUCUGCCUUGCCUUUCAUGAGAAGUGAGUCAGUGUAUAUUGUUCAGGCACAAAUGAAAAGUGGGUUUGAAUUUUUAUCCUUGAACAUGGAUCCUUGCACUGUUGGGGGAGGGGUAUGGGUCAGAGAACAGUUCCUAGUGAACUGGCAAACCCACAUACAUUCUUUACCCCAAAUAGUGGACAUUCCUUGUUUCGUUUCCUUCUGCUCCCAGAAUAUGUAUAGUGCUGCAUACUUUUUUGAGAGAGUAAGUUUUGUUUAUGUCACAGACUCAGAGAGUCCUUGAUGGCUUGUUGACAGGUAUUGAAAAUGAUGGGAUUGGAGCGCUGACAGGUGAUUCAUGCAUAUGGAUGUCUUCUGUGAUUCUACAUAGCGGUCUAUCUGGGGUUAUUUAUGGUAGCAUUGUCAUGGCGAUCAAUGAGCAGUAAACAAGGCUCUCAAAGCCAUAGGGAGAGUUUUUACAGCCUUUGUGACCAACUGUGGAACCUCUAAUUUAUUUGUUUGUUUAUUUAGUUAGUUUUUUAAAAGUUAGAAUCUCUGUUUUAUUCUUUU